ACUAUUCUAAUGGAGAGAGAUAUUGCCUGAACAUAACCAAAAACUACAGAUAAACUUCAUAAAUCCUAAUAAACACAAUGGUGCCUUCUCAGGCAGUAAGGAACAACGCCUAUAACAGGAUGGUUAAUUUUAUGUGUCAGCUUGGCUAGGUUAUGGUACCCCAGCUAUUUGGUCAAAUGUCAAUCUAGAUGUUGCUGUGAAGGCAUGUUUUAGAUGUGAUUAACAUUUAAAUCAGUAAAGGAGAUCAAGCUGUAGAUUGUGGGUUGGCCUCAUCUAAUCAAUUGAAGACUUUAAGAGCAAAGCCUAAGGUUUCCCAAAGAAAAAACAAUUCUGCCUUCAGAUUGCAAAACUCUUAUGUGAAUUUCCAGUCUCCAACCUCUCCCCCCACUCCGAUAAACUUCACUUACCAACCCCUACAGUCAUGAGCCAAUUCCUUAAAAUCAAUCUCUCUCCAUAUGCAUAUAUGUAUAUGUAUACACACACACACACACACACACACACACACACACCCUAUUGGUUUUGUUUCUCUGGAGAACCCUAAUAGGAUGGUAGCUAGUUACUUAUGAGACUAAAUAUACAGAUAGACAAUGGAUAGACCAUUUGUACAGAACUUUAACGCACAAUUACUGCACCUUCCCUGGAAAACUAACUCCCACAUCUGAUAGGGGACUUAUAAACUGAUAAGAUAGAGAAUCUGAAUUAAUCUGAAAAGUAAUCAUAUUAUUUUAAAUUUUAGAAUACAUAUAUGUAUGUGAAUAGAAGGUUAAGUUUUUAAGUUUCUUUUAGAAGGGCUGUGUGAAGACAUUAGGGAGGUGACUCAGCUGUGAAUCCAGCAAGCAGAACCAAUAAGCAUGGUUAGACCAACCCACCAGGAGUCAGUCAAAAUAUCAUCUCAUCGCCUGAUGAUUAAGGACAAGAGCUGAUGUCUGGGGACCUCCAGGACUGCAUGUAGCUGCAUUCCGUUCCCAGCAUCACCCUAGACCCUUCCCCUUUGUAAUCCUGUCCCCUGCGCCUUGAUGUAAGACAGGAUUUGAAUGCGUGUAAGCAACCUGUCUUCUUAGUUGGUUGGCCUUCUCAAUAAACGCCUUAUAUGAUUCAA